GGAAACCUGGAGUUUCCCUGUCGCUUGCCUGCUGCAGUAAAUGGAAAAGCCAUUUGGGCACUUGGCACAAGGCACUGGAAAAUGGUCCCUGGGGUCUGGAUGAUCAUCAUCGCUGAGCAUCGAGUUCCUUUUAUUGUGGACAAACAGGAUAUGACUCAUCAACAGAGGACAGUGUAAUAUCCCAAACAGAACAUCCCACAGGGUACUGACAGCAGCAGCAUUGGGAAGACUAGAUGACGUCACUGAGAUGUGAGAUGAUUCACUUGGACAAGCCUGGAGGACUAUAGAUGAAUUGACCAGCCACGCCAGCACACCGGGAGGCACAGGCUGAUCAUUUGUGCCAAGCACUAAGGACACCUGAAAAUGUUUGAUUUUAUGUUGAAUACUUGUUCCUGCAUUUACCAGUCACACCAGAGAAAACUCCCUUAUCUUGGACAUAAACAGAAUAGCCCAGACUAAAGGAUGGCAGGCAAGCUGUCUGGAUACCCAGUUACUUGACAUGAGUCUCAUUCAAGAAAAGAACUCUUGCUCCAACUCCCAAGUUUGAGUUCAGCUUCUUCUGCCUAUGACAUUCAGUUCACUUCA
rnacentral:lncRNA from 1 species